rnacentral:rRNA from 1 species
CUGUAAGCCUGUGAAGGUGUGCUGUGAGGCAUGCUGGAGGUAUCAGAAGUGCGAAUGCUGACAUAAGUAACGAUAAAGCGGGUGAAAAGCCCGCUCGCCGGAAGACCAAGGGUUCCUGUCCAACGUUAAUCGGGGCAGGGUGAGUCGACCCCUAAGGCGAGGCCGAAAGGCGUAGUCGAUGGGAAACAGGUUAAUAUUCCUGUACUUGGUGUUACUGCGAAGGGGGGACGGAGAAGGCUAUGUUGGCCGGGCGACGGUUGUCCCGGUUUAAGCGUGUAGGCUGGUUUUCCAGGCAAAUCCGGAAAAUCAAGGCUGAGGCGUGAUGACGAGGCACUACGGUGCUGAAGCAACA